CAGCAUUCCAGGUACAAUAAUAUUCAUCAAAUACAUGUGUAUAAGAUUACAUCAUUGAUGAAUACAAUUUUCUGGCAUAGCCCUAAGGCUAUUUACAUGGCAGCGGAAGUCCAUAUAAAUGGCGGCGGAAGUCUUGGUUUGGCAGCGUCUCACUAAGGCGGGGCACCAUAACGCACAGGACUGGCAAGAUUAUGGCCUAGCACAACGGAACAAGCGAACGACCUACAAAACUGGCAUGACACGCCAGGUCAGUACAUUGAAUGUACUUGCAAGACAACCAAAUACAUAGCAUCCAAACAAACAGAAGACAAAGCAAGAACCAAGCAUAUGCAACAGUCUACAUCAACACAACUUCUAAGCAUGGCAUGAUAUUAACUAGAAUCAUAAUUCAAACUAGGCAUGAACAACAUCAUAGCAUCAACUAUCAUGGCAUAUCAAACUUACUUUUAUCAUAACAACAGCAAAGCAUAGCAUAUCAAAACAUGGCAUGGCAUCAUGAAACUAUGCUGAAAAUAAACUACCAGUUACCUCCCGUGAAGACAUCUUGUAUUAACCUUAUGCAACAAUCACUUACUCUGCCACGGCUCCUCGGAGCACAAUCAUGACUUACCGAGACCUCGUCUCGGGGUCAUAUCAACACAUCAUUGUGACUUCUCAUGAUUAUUUCAUAGUCCAAGCCAUCACAUCAGUUAUCGCAUCUUAGUUAUCACAUAAUUUAUUAGCUGAUUUAUCCUCCAUUUCGACCGAGACCCGAUAGUGUGACCUACUACGAACUUGUGCCCAUGACCGAGGACGCAGCUAUCGAUAGAUUGAAUACACUCUGCAGAGGUAGCGCACUUUACCCACACUAUGGAACCCUGGUCUCACACUCCCAUACGUGCGGACCAAAGCGUUCCGACAAAACCGAUCUACUGCCAUGACGCCCUCCCGGCCACUUCGACCAACACCCCUUAAGGGUUCAGUCCUAGGUGGCCCCGUACCUACCAAAGGUAACAAUGGCCACCGUCGUGGCAAAACGGUCCCAAACGGGGACAUGAGCUCAAAACCAAACCCGGGCACACAAGGCUUAUGUCCACCUACCUGAUCAGGGUAAGCGUGCCCAUAACCUUCCCUUGCGGGAGGCACCGGCGAGAGGCAUGACAAUAGACCCAGCUAGGACCUUCCCACAAGGUAAAUGUGGUUGCACUGGAGAAAGCUCGAUUUGGUGGCACUAUGAUAUCCCAGUGAUGGCGGAGGAGGUUUGUUAUUAAGUCAUAUUAUUAAUUUCUCCACCAUCAUCAACAUUAUGAGCAUAUUAAACAAGAAUGCAACAAUGAACAUGCAACUAACAAAUGCAUUAACAAAUAUCAAGCUACUCCAGUGAACAGUUAAAGCAUAUGAAACAUAACAAUACUAGACACUAGCUUAUUGACGGUGCAACAAAAUCAUCAUAACAUCAAGACUACUGGCAUGGACUAAACUAGACAGAGGCAUGAUAUUAUCAACAACAAUAUAACUAGCAUGGCAAAAGCUAUCAUGAGAGGUAAGCAAGCAGUAGUAACAUGUAUCACAACUGAAAUAACGGCAGACGAAACAGACAAAAACUACUGCAACUAAGCACACACAAGACGUACCAGCAAAGUCAACAUGCAAGUUCGGGGCUCAUGAUAAGAGGUUGGCUUGCCUGGGGCCGAGGAUUACUCCGGAAAAAGUGCGGAACGAUCGCGGAAAGAUUUGCAGGAAACAGUUCUCUCUCGGAGGGUGCUGUUUAUGGGCAAGGGAAAAGUGGUCAUUUUCACUGUGUGAAAACAUAAUGAAUAUGAUACCAAUGGAAAGAGUUCGACGAGACGAAGACGUGAGCGUUGGUUUCACCUCAAUCGGAGUUACGGUUGUCGAGAUACGCAGGUUUGAAGUUCAGGGACCUAUCGGUGAAAGUUUUUCAGCAAACAGGCCCCUGGAGGAAAAACUGAACGUGCCUUUGGGCUGAAUAUGUUUUCCGCACAGGGAAACGCAUUUACGGCCGAAGUGCCCAGGGAAUACGUUUUCUGACCUGGAAAGUGUAUUCAGGUGGAAUACAUUUCCACAGCAGGGAAACGGUUUGCCCGGGCGGGCGCGUCCACUUAUCCGACGUGGCCAGCGGGGCCACGCCCUCCUCUCACCGACAGGUGGGUCCCGCAGGGUGGGGCCCGCCUGGCCUGGCUUCUUCUUCCUCCCGCGCGUACGCGAGCCUGGCCGAGGGAGACGCCCGCCUCGACGGCGAUUGCCGGCGGC
rnacentral:lncRNA from 1 species